UAAACGACUCUCGGCAACGGAUAUCUCGGCUCACGCAUCGAUGAAGAACGUAGCAAAAUGCGAUACUUGGUGUGAAUUGCAGAAUCCCGUGAACCAUCGAGUUUUUGAACGCAAGUUGCGCCCGAAGCCUUUUGGCCAAGGGCACGUCUGCCUGGGCGUCACACAUCGUGUCGCCCCCCGUAACACCUUUUGACGGGGAUGUUUGAAUGGGGGGCGGAGAUUGGUCUCCCGUUCUAUGGU
rnacentral:rRNA from 1 species